rnacentral:rRNA from 1 species
CACGUGGGUAAUCUGCCUCUGAGUUGGGGACAACUUGCCGAAAGGCGAGCUAAUACCAGAUAUGGUUAUCCGUCAUAAGACGGGUGGAUCAAAGACGGGGAUUCUUCGGAACCUGUCGCUCAGAGAGGAGCCUGCGCGCCAUCAGCUAGUUGGUGAGGUAACGGCUCACCAAGGCUUACGGCUAGCUGGUCUGAGAGGAUGACCAGCCGCACUGGGACUGAGACACUGCCCAGACUCCUACGGGAGGCUGCAGUCGAGGAUCUUGGACAAUGGGGGAAACCCUGAUCCAGCGACGCUGCGUGGAGGAUGAAGGCCUUCGGGUUGUAAACUCCUGUCAUUCGGGAAAAACGACCCCGGCUCUAACACAGUCGGGGAGUGAUGGUACCGGAAGAGGAAGCCACGGCUAACUCUGUGCCAGCAGCCGCGGUAAUACAGAGGUGGCGAGCGUUGUUCGGAUUUACUGGGCGUAAAGGGUGCGUAGGUGGCUAUCUGUGUCGGAUGUGAAAUCCCAAGGCUCAACCUUGGAACUGCAUUCGAAACUGGGUAGCUAGAGUGCAGGAUGGGAGAGCGGAAUUCUUGGUGUAGCGGUGAAAUGCGUUGAUAUCAAGAAGAACACCGGUGGCGAAGGCGGCUCUCUGGAAUGCUACUGACACUGAGGCACGAAAGCUGGGGGAGCAAACAGGAUUAGAUACCCUGGUAGUCCCAGCUGUAAACGGUGUGCAUUUGGUGUGGGAGGAAUUGACCCCUUCCGUGCCGGAGCUAACGCGUUAAAUGCACCGCCUGGGGAGUACGGUCGCAAGACUAAAACUCAAAGAAAUUGACGGGGGCCCGCACAAGCGGAGGAGCAUGUGGCUCAAUUCGAUGCAACGCGAAGAACCUUACCAGGACUUGACAUGCAGCUGCACGUCCCGUGAAAGCGGGAUUCCUUCGAGGGUGCUGCACAGGUGCUGCAUGGCUGUCGUCAGUUCGUGCCGUGAGGUGUUGGGUUAAGUCCCGCAACGAACGCAACCCCUGUGUUUAGUUGCUACCAGGUAAUGCUGGGCACUCUAAACAGACUGCCUGUACAAAGCAGGAGGAAGGUGGGGAUGACGUCAAGUCAGUAUGGCCCUUACGUCCUGGGCUGCACACGUGCUACAAUGGCCAGUACAGAGGGAAGCAAGACCGCGAGGUGGAGCAAAUCCCCAAAAACCGGCCUCAGUUCGGAUUGAAGUCUGAAACUCGACUUCAUGAAGCUGGAUUCGCUAGUAAUGGCGCAUCAGCUACGGCGCCGUGAAUACGUUCCCGGGCCUUGUACACACCGCCCGUCACAUCAUGAAAGCCGCCUGCACCCAAAGUCGCUGAUUCAACCCGCAAGGGGGAUAGGUGCCUAAGGUGUGGGUGGUGAUUGGGAUGAAGUCGUAACAAGGUA